UACCAGCUUGAACAAACCAGUUUAUACCAGCAUGGAAAUAAACGCUUAACUCAGCAGGGUAGUCUCUUGCUUUCUAGAUGCUAUUAAAUGCCAAUCUAAGUCGAAUGAGCUCUCGAUAGCGUGAAUGUGUCCAGCUGUCUUGAUGAGAAUAAUUAAUGUUUAGUUUAACUAAAGGGUGCGAGCAGGGAGUGUCACUCAGACAAGUGUAUGGUGGGCAAACACAGGAAGAGGGUGGAGAGAAGGCCGGGCACUGAUAAGAGUAGUACACCCUCUUCAUUUCCUUUCGCCCGCUUGUGCCCUCCACCCUCAGGGGUGUGGAAAAUAUGACAAGUUUCUGAACUCAGGCCAGAGUUUCAGUCCAGGAAUCAAUCAAAUCUCAAUGACCCCGAUCCCCGCACACACUGGAUGACACUCUAUUUGUGGAACUGGGUGUACAUCUACCAAAGCAAAAUACCUCCAGAGAACACAGACAUGUAAACAUAGCAGGAAUUAAAGCCAGGCUAACACCAGCAUCCCAUGGGGUUUCCAUAAUGUUGUUGUUAUGGCCAUGCGUUAUAACUGUACUGGAUGGAAGUCCAGGAGGAGGGGACAGGAAGCAGACCAAAGGCAAGCGACUCUCCUGAGCCACAUGGGGUUAAUGGUUAUUCCUUUCAAAUGACAGAUGAGUGGACAGCAGGAUAGGAUGAUCCCAUUCAUAUUGAUGAGGCCUGGGUAUGCUGACUUAAAGAAAAGGGCAGCGAAGGAGAAAUGAAGGAGACAGGAAGACCAUCUGAUCCACUUCCUUCCCACAGGACGUUCAAUUUUCGGCAUCCGGAUCACCUGAUUAUCUCGAAACGCACAGGCUGCUACGCCGGCUGCCUUCGCCAUGGUUACCGGAGGAGCAGAAUGCGUCUGAAACGCAGAGCUUUUCCCACACCGCGCAUAUGUGAAGGUCUGAG